rnacentral:lncRNA from 1 species
CUGGAGAGCCCCUCUCCCUCUGCGUUUGUUUACUGUCUCCUCCUCUGCCGCCCACAUGGCAUUUUCCUUUACUUACAGGAGUCCUAAAGACCCGAAACAGCAGCAAGCAGAUUAAAAAUUAAUAAAAGUCUCAGAGGGAGAGUACCAAGAGGCGGCUGGCUCUGUGAUCGGCAAUUUUUUGAGUUUCCGGUGAUGCACCCAGCAGGAGUGAGGAGAAUUUAUCUUCAGGAUAAACUUCAUUAUUCUACAGUGUCUCUUCAUUUGCCCAGGAGGGCUCUAACAUAGGAUUUUGGAGGGAAUAUCCUUCAGUCUGUAGCAUCUGGGGAAGUGCCUUCAAGCAGAGGGAACAGCCAUGGCAAAGGCGCAAAGGCAAGAGUCAGCCUGGUGAGUUAAGAGCCUGAUGUGGCUGCAGGUAAUGGAGGUGUGGGAGAACUUGAAGUCAGAGAGGCAAAGGGGACUAGUGUAUGAGGAACUAGCUGGCUGGGGGCUCUGAAUUUUAUUUGAGUAAAGCAGGGGCCAGU